rnacentral:rRNA from 1 species
UACGUAGGGUGCAAGCGUUGUCCGGAAUUACUGGGCGUAAAGCGUGCGCAGGCGGUUUUGUAAGCCAGAUGUGAAAUCCCCGGGCUUAACCUGGGAACUGCAUUUGGGACUGCAAGGCUUGAGUGCGGCAGAGGAGACUGGAAUUCCUGGUGUAGCAGUGAAAUGCGUAGAUAUCAGGAGGAAUACCGAUGGCGAAGGCAGGUCUCUGGGCUGACACUGACGCUCAUGCACGAAAGCGUGGGGAGCAAACAGG